UUAAAGCACCACUCGCGAUGACACUGAUCUUCAUAAGGGUUUUAGGAAAAUGGCAACAAAACCUGCUCCAGUCCACCCACCCGACCGCCCCAGCAUGCUCACAUAUCAAAGGCUGGCCAGGGUGCUGGACAUCCCAAAGGGCAUUGUCAGUGCUGAUUAGCAGCGGGCGUAUCGCUGACAAAGACAGCCACCAGGGGCCUGCCACCGAGCGACCAAUCAUCAGGCUUUUUACUGGAUAAUGAUGGCGGGCUGUGACUCUGUUAAUAAGGGCCCGAGCACAGAGGGAGAGCAGCGUCAGAGCUGUUGGGCUGCCAUUCACUUCAUUAUAUGCUCUCUUAUUAUAGAGCACUAUGACUCGCUCUCGCUCUCCUCCAUCUGAUCGUAUCAGUGCGGCUAAAGCGCCGCGCUGUUCCCCGUGACGUCAGCCUCGUGUUCUCCAAAUCAAUCAGACCGAGUCAGAGGAUUUCUGAUCAACUCUUCUCUUGUUUUAAUAUGAAAAGAAUCACGACGCAUGCUGUCCAAAAUAUGACUCAAAUUCCCAUCACCAACACAACAGCAAUCUUACGGAACAGGAGAAUCAAACUCAUGUGUUAUUAUUUUCUAGAAGCACAAAGGAAUAUUCCUGCAGCUCUUUUACAAACGAUAACAAGCUUCAAGAAGUCAAAAAAAAAAAAAUAUAUAUCUUUGACAGUCAUACAGUAACUUUAUGUAAGGAAAUGAAUAAAAAAAAUGAAUCUCUCAAAAUAUAGCAUUUAUGGUCAUGAUAAACUGGUGCUGUUUGAAAAAACAACAACAACAACAACAACCAUUUCUUCGGAAUGUUUGACAGAAAAAUAUAUUACAAUACCAGUUAAAAGUGAAUAAUUUAGUAAUAAUCUGGACUUUUCUGCUUACCGUCAUAUUGUGAAAUAUUGGAAUCAGUAAUAUUAAUUGAAAUUGUUGUUAAUGUUUAAAUCUUAUCAAACUUUUGAACGUUAGUGUACCACGAUUUCAAAAUAAUAAUAAUAAUAAUAAUAAUAAUAAUAAUAAUAAUAAUACUGAUAACAUUUAUAAACAUAUAUAUAUAUAUAUAUAUAUAUAUAUAUAUAUAUAUAUAUAUAUAUAUAUAUAUGUAUGUUCCAAAAUUAUUCCAAACUUUUGACUAGUGGACUAAAAAUAAGUUUAAAUGUUCUCUGUAAACUAUACCUUCAAUAAAAAUAGACAUAAGCAUGUUUAUUCAGAACAGAAAUACAUCAUGACGUAAAUGAAUGUGCUUUCCUUACUGGUGUAUGCAGGCAUUAUAAAGGAUAAACUGCAUAUGAAAUAGUGCUGACCGACCAAUUAAGUCUCCGUCACUGCUGUGUUUCUUUCCUCAUAUUUCCCCUCUCUCCGCCCCGUCCUCCCCCUCUCCCCGUUUCCUCUCACUUGAACAGACUCCAGCAGUGUGACAGAGUCCUCUCAGGUUGUUAAAGUGGGAAUCAGCAAUCUCUGCUUCCUACACCAUCAGGGAGCGUGAGGACAGGAGCCUGGAACAGCCCCUCUGUUAUUGAGCCUGCAGGUUCAGGCGCUUGUGGGUGAGAAACCCCUGCUCUCGCACUAUUAAUCAUUAUGUGACCCUUUAACACCUGCUACUAACUCUCUGCCUCCAACUGCUGCCGUAUUGAUAUCAUUCCCUGUUGAUUUCUUCAUUUUCUGUGCCUGGCCAGGACCGAGCCCUUUGAAAUCCCUCAUAAAUGUCAGUAAUUGCACAUCAGAGUUCAAUGUAUUACUUUCCCACUGUCUCUUUGGCUCACUAUUUCUCUUUUUUCUGUCUCUGGCACACACACACACACACACACACGGGCGCAUGCUACUGUGCAGCGGAGCCUCAUGUAUUUUGAUGAUAUAAAAUAUGACCACAUUUACAUGGAAAUAGAAGUUUGAGAUUAAUGGGGGAAGCAAACAGUGAAAAAAGGAGGACUGUAUGGUAAUACACCAUUAUUCUGUUUAAAUACAUUUACCCGUGUUUGGAAGCUGAAUUAUCAUGCUGGCCUGAUUACAGUUUUGUUUUCCAAUUGAUCGUAUAAUUUCAUCAAGUUCAGCUGUCAUUUCUAAUAGUAACCCAGGAUUACUGACUGAACUGAAGAUUUUCAUUGAGGCAGAGAGAUCUUGGCAGAACAGGUGAAUUAGUCUGUUUAUUUUUUAUUAUUUU
rnacentral:lncRNA from 1 species